AUUGAACGCUGGCGGCAGGCCUAACACAUGCAAGUAGAGCGAGCGUCGGACGGGUGAGUAAUGUAUGGGGACCUGCCCGACAGAGGGGGUUAACUACGCGAAAGAGUGGCUAAUACCGCAUACUAUUGGAUCGGCCGACAUGGGAUUAGCUCGUUGGUGGGGUAAAGGCUCACCAGGGUAACGGUCCGCAGCUGGUUUGAGAGGACGACCAGCAACACUGGGACUGAGACACGGCCCAGACUCCUACGGGAGGCAGCAGAGGGGAAUUUUGGACAUUGGGGGAAACCCUGAUCCAGCAAGCCCGCGUGUAUGAGAAGGCCUUCGGGUGGUAAGGUACUUUUGGCAGGAAAGCGGUAUCUGAAGAAUAAGCACCGGCUAACUACGUGCCAGCAGCCGCGGUAAUAC
rnacentral:rRNA from 1 species